rnacentral:rRNA from 1 species
AAAAAAGGUAAGCUACUAAGAGCGAAUGGUGGAUGCCUUGACUGGUAAAGGCGAUGAAGGACGUACUAGACUGCGAUAAGCUACGGGGAGCUGUCAAGAAGCUUUGAUCCGUAGAUUUCCGAAUGGGGCAACCCAAUGUAUAGAGAUAUACAUUACCUAUAUAGGAGCGAACGAGGGGAAUUGAAACAUCUUAGUACCCUCAGGAAAAGAAAUCAAUAGAGAUUGCGUCAGUAGCGGCGAGCGAAAGCGCAAGAGGGCAAACCCAGUGCUUGCACUGGGGGUUGUAGGACUGCAAUGUGCAAGAGGUAAGUUUAGCAGAACAUUCUGGAAAGUAUAACCAUAGAGGGUGAUAGUCCCGUAUGCGAAAAACAAACCUUAGCUAGCAGUAUCCUGAGUAGGGCGGGACACGAGGAAUCCUGUCUGAAUCCGGGUCGACCACGAUCCAACCCUAAAUACUAAUACCAGAUCGAUAGUGCACAAGUACCGUGAGGGAAAGGUGAAAAGAACUGAGGUGAUCAGAGUGAAAUAGAACCUGAAACCAUUUGCUUACAAUCAUUCAGAGCCCUAUGUAGCAAUACAGGGUGAUGGACUGCCUUUUGCAUAAUGAGCCUGCGAGUUGUGGUGUCUGGCAAGGUUAAGCAAACGCGAAGCCGUAGCGAAAGCGAGUCUGAAUAGGGCGCUUAGUCAGAUGCUGCAGACCCGAAACGAAGUGAUCUAUCCAUGAGCAAGUUGAAGCUAGUGUAAGAACUAGUGGAGGACUGAACCCAUAGGCGUUGAAAAGCCCCGGGAUGACUUGUGGAUAGGGGUGAAAGGCCAAUCAAACUUCGUGAUAGCUGGUUCUCUCCGAAAUAUAUUUAGGUAUAGCGUUGUGUCGUAAUAUAAGGGGGUAGAGCACUGAAUGGGCUAGGGCAUACACCAAUGUACCAAACCCUAUCAAACUCCGAAUACCUUAUAUGUAAUCACAGCAGUCAGGCGGCGAGUGAUAAAAUCCGUCGUCAAGAGGGAAACAACCCAGACUACCAGCUAAGGUCCCUAAAUCUUACUUAAGUGGAAAACGAUGUGAAGCAGCCAUCCUUUAAAGAAAGCGUAAUAGCUCACUGGUCUAGUGAUUUUGCGCGGAAAAUAUAACGGGGCUAAAGUAAGUACCGAAGCUGUAGACUUGCACACAACUUAGAUUAUUUAAGUUUAGAAUAUGAGAAACUAAGUUAUAUGUUUAGUUAUAUUUUUACUGAUUUUUAUAGAGUAAAGAUAGAAAUAAAACUUAGUAAAAUCAGUAAAAAUAUUAAGUGGUAGGAGAGCGUUCUAUUUGCGUCGAAGGUAUACCGGUAAGGAGUGCUGGAGCGAAUAGAAGUGAGCAUGCAGGCAUGAGUAGCGAUAAUUAAUGUGAGAAUCAUUAACGCCGUAAACCCAAGGUUUCCUACGCGAUGCUCGUCAUCGUAGGGUUAGUCGGGUCCUAAGUCGAGUCCGAAAGGGGUAGACGAUGGCAAAUUGGUUAAUAUUCCAAUACCAACAUUAGUGUGCGAUGGAAGGACGCUUAGGGCUAAGGGGGCUAGCGGAUGGAAGUGCUAGUCUAAGGUCGUAGGAGGUUGUACAGGCAAAUCCGUAUAACAAUACUUCGAGAACUGAAAGGCUUUUUGAAGUCUUCGGAUGGAUAGAAGAACCCCUGAUGCCGUCGAGCCAAGAAAAGUUUCUAAGUUUAGCUAAUGUUGCCCGUACCGUAAACCGACACAGGUGGGUGGGAUGAGUAUUCUAAGGCGCGUGGAAGAACUCUCUUUAAGGAACUCUGCAAAAUAGCACCGUAUCUUCGGUAUAAGGUGUGGUUAGCUUUGUAUUAGGAUUUACUCCGAAAGCAAGGAAACUUACAACAAAGAGUCCCUCCCGACUGUUUACCAAAAACACAGCACUCUGCUAACUCGUAAGAGGAUGUAUAGGGUGUGACGCCUGCCCGGUGCUCGAAGGUUAAUUGAUGGGGUUAGCAUUAGCGAAGCUCUUGAUCGAAGCCCGAGUAAACGGCGGCCGUAACUAUAACGGUCCUAAGGUAGCGAAAUUCCUUGUCGGUUAAAUACCGACCUGCAUGAAUGGCGUAACGAGAUGGGAGCUGUCUCAAAGAGGGAUCCAGUGAAAUUGUAGUGGAGGUGAAAAUUCCUCCUACCCGCGGCAAGACGGAAAGACCCCGUGGACCUUUACUACAGCUUGACACUGCUACUUGGAUAAGAAUGUGCAGGAUAGGUGGGAGGCUUUGAGUAUAUGACGCCAGUUGUAUAUGAGCCAUUGUUGAGAUACCACUCUUUCUUAUUUGGGUAGCUAACCAGCUUGAGUUAUCCUCAAGUGGGACAAUGUCUGGUGGGUAGUUUGACUGGGGCGGUCGCCUCCCAAAUAAUAACGGAGGCUUACAAAGGUUGGCUCAGAACGGUUGGAAAUCGUUCGUAGAGUAUAAAGGUAUAAGCCAGCUUAACUGCAAGACAUACAAGUCAAGCAGAGACGAAAGUCGGUCUUAGUGAUCCGGUGGUUCUGUGUGGAAGGGCCAUCGCUCAAAGGAUAAAAGGUACCCCGGGGAUAACAGGCUGAUCUCCCCCAAGAGCUCACAUCGACGGGGAGGUUUGGCACCUCGAUGUCGGCUCAUCGCAUCCUGGGGCUGGAGCAGGUCCCAAGGGUAUGGCUGUUCGCCAUUUAAAGCGGUACGCGAGCUGGGUUCAGAACGUCGUGAGACAGUUCGGUCCCUAUCUGCCGUGGGCGUAAGAAGAUUGAAGAGAUUUGACCCUAGUACGAGAGGACCGGGUUGAACAAACCACUGGUGUAGCUGUUGUUCUGCCAAGAGCAUCGCAGCGUAGCUAAGUUUGGAAAGGAUAAACGCUGAAAGCAUCUAAGCGUGAAGCCAACUCUAAGAUGAAUCUUCUCUAAGCUCUCUAGAAGACUACUAGUUUGAUAGGCUGGGUGUGUAAUGGAUGAAAGUCCUUUAGCUGACCAGUACUAAUAGAGCGUUUGGCUUAUCUUUAAUAAAGCAU